GUGGCGAUGCUGGUUCGAGCCUCAGCUGAGUCAGUUGGUGUUUCUGUGUGGAGUUUGCAUGUUCUCCCUGCAUUCGCGUGGGUUUCCUCCGGUUGCUUCAACUUCCCCCACAGUCCAAAGACACGCGGAACAGUGGCAACGCUGGUUCGAGCCUCGGCUGGGUCAGUUGGUGUUUCUAUUUGGAGUUUGCAUGUUCUCCCUGCGUUCGAGUGGGUUUCCUCCGGUUGCUUCGACUUCUUCAACAGUCUAAAGACACGCGGAACAGGCACAGCUUUAACACAACAGCAGCCUUUUCAAAGUGGACAGAAUUCUUUGAGAUUCAAUCUAAAGCUAAGUAUUUUGUUUCAGUUGUUUGUACUGCCUUGUAAUACAGUCACAUUUUCAGCAUAAUGUUAAAUCUUAGUCUCAUUCAAGUGUUGUGUUUUUUUAUGUUUUUACUACCAGAAGACCCAAGAAGAUGUGUUGACUGAGAAAACAAAUGUCCUGCAGUAUUGUUGAGGAAGACAUCUGCCUAACUAUAUAUUGGAGAAGACCAGGUGUAUGCGCACUACGGCAUUGCAGAAUGAUAGACCAGAGGAAGAACAUCUCUAAUACAGAGGUAUUCUGAAACAAGAGAAGACCAGGUGUUUGGCAUUGCACACCACAGCAUUGCAGGAUGACGGACCAGAGGAUAUAAAGUCUGUGCAUGCCAGAUCCAGAGGCCAGAUGGUGGAAGACGGUUUCCUGCAACAUUUAGAUAAUUUUAACGUUGUUUAAAAAUGUUAUUAGCUUAUACAUUUAAAAAAUGUUGUUACGUUACGUGCCACGCCCAAGGAAGAUGGGUACUCCCUUGCUGAGUCUGGUCUUUCCAAGGUUUCUCUCCAAACUUUUUGGAGUUUUUUUCCUUGCCACAGUCGCCAAUGGCUUGCUCACAGGGGGUGUUGUGCCAAGUCCUGUCUUCCCCUCGGGUCCUUUAUCUUUAAACUUAGAUUCCAUAGUAAUUUAGCCAUACAAAUGUUAAUAAAAAGGAGCUUAAAAGUAAUUUAAAAUAAGUAAAAAUAGGCUUAAGAGUACAAAUAAAGCUUAGUCAAUCAUAUCAUCACAAUUUAGGAUAUUUAUAUGCAGCUUAGGUUUGAAUGUAUUUGCCAUUAAUAAAUACUAAUGAGUAAAAUGUUUGCUCCAUAAACUAUUUAGUGUUAUAAAUCAAUGUAACUUUUUUUUUUUUCUCAGAUUAGAGCCGCAAAUUAUUUGCAGAAAGGGACAGUAGGUCAGGUAAAAAUUGAUAAUCAUCACAUAUGGCCAAAGUACAUUUUUACUUUAAACAACGUAAAAAAAGAAUAAAACCCAUUAGCAUUUAGAUCAGUUUCUUAGGGCACUUUAAUAUUAAUUAAUUAAUUAAUUAAUUAAUAAUAAUAAUAACAAAACUUUUGUGUUUAUAGCUGGCAUGGUCUUUAUUAAAUAAACAUUCCCAGCACCAAUUUAUAGCAAAUAAUCAUGUCAUUUUAUUAUUAUUAAUUAAACCAUGUUUAGCAGGGUGGUUGAACUGCAGAAUUAUUUAUAAAUUUAACUCUGCCACUGUACACAGUAUGUGAUAGUGCACUGAAUGAGGUUUUAAAUUAAAAUCAACCAUAUUAAAUGCACAUAUAUAUAAUAUUAUAUAAUUUAUUAUAAUAUAUAAUUAAUAUAUAUUAUAGUAUAAAAAUUAUAAUAAUUUACAAUGAUGUGUUUAAGAAAAACAUCCAUUUUGGAAUUAAACAGUCAUUAGGUAAACUUUAUUAUUGCUCUAUUGCUUAAUUCAUUAUUCUAACAUUUUAGUAGGUGUGACUGGGAUCAGACUGGUGGACAGGAUUUGGCACAACAGGCUUUUUUUUAAUCGAUUUAAUAAACAAUUUGGUUUAAUUGGCACAGUC
rnacentral:lncRNA from 1 species